rnacentral:rRNA from 1 species
CAGCAUCAUCAUGCUGGCUGUCCAGGUGUGUAAAAUACAUCUGUUAGCAAGGGCCGGGCAAUACCGGUGCCAGCCGCCGCGGUAACACCGGCGGCCCGAGUGGUGAUCGUGAUUAUUGGGUCUAAAGGGUCCGUAGCCGGUUUGGUCAGUCCUCCGGGAAAUCUGAUAGCUCAACUAUUAGGCUUUCGGGGGAUACUGCCAGACUUGGAACCGGGAGAGGUAAGAGGUACUACAGGGGUAGGAGUGAAAUCUUGUAAUCCCUGUGGGACCACCUGUGGCGAAGGCGUCUUACCAGAACGGGUUCGACGGUGAGGGACGAAAGCUGGGGGCACGAACCGGAUUAGAUACCCGGGUAGUCCCAGCCGUAAACGAUGCUCGCUAGGUGUCAGACAUGGCGCGACCGUGUCUGGUGCCGCAGGGAAGCCGUGAAGCGAGCCACCUGGGAAGUACGGCCGCAAGGCUGAAACUUAAAGGAAUUGGCGGGGGAGCAC